rnacentral:rRNA from 1 species
GACGUAGGAUGCGAGCGUUGUUCGGAUUUAUUGGGCGUAAAGCGUACGUAGGCGGCUUUUUAAGUCUGGUGUUAAAGCUAGGGGCUCAACCCCUGUGAUGCACUGGAAACUGGGAAGCUUGAGUGUGGUAGGGGAAGGUGGAAUUCCGAGUGUAGCGGUGAAAUGCGUAGAUAUUCGGAAGAACACCGGUGGCGAAAGCGACCUUCUGGGCCAUUACUGACGCUGAGGUACGAAAGCUUGGGGAGCGAACGGGAUUAGAUACCCCGGUAGUCCAAGCGGUAAACGAUGAUCACUAGGUGUAGCGGGUAUCAACCCCUGCUGUGCCGUAGCUAACGCGUUAAGUGAUCCGCCUGGGGAGUACGGCCGCAAGGCUGAA